UGGGAUAAAUGGCAUAAAACCGGGACAACCCCGGUCAAAACCGGACGUAUGUGUUGAUAAUCCCUUAUUUAACGUCUGCUAUAACGACAUAUCGUAAACACUAUAAAGGUGUAUUACAACAUCAAAGUGGUAGAUGCGUUAUUGCAGCUGCACCUAAGGAGUUAAACUACCAAAUAGAACCAAACUUGCCCCGUGGAAAAGUUGCUCUCUUGAUACUGACGAAGAAUUGUAAGAAUGCAGACAUUUGGAGUAUUUCAGAUAAGUUUAUAUUUAAAAAUGAAAGAUACAAUUUGACUGCAAAUAACCAUGUGGAUCCAAGAAAGGAUCGACCUGGGAUACCAGUUAUUCUUACAAGUGGUUACCACGAUCAUGAUUUUACGCAUUCAACAUUUUUGUAUAGCUAUGACAACAAAAUUUACCACCGAGAGACUGGAUUUUGCGUGAAGUUACAAGUUAGUGAGAGUCCAGAGCACGAAAGAAGAAUUGUUAAACUUAAAGGAACCUUAGUUUUUUCAGAAACUUGUUCCGGAAGUCAAGGGGAGAAGUUUUUUUUUAAGGAUAGAUCUAAAUUUCAAACAGAAGUAAAUGGAAUAACAGAAAAGAUUCAAGA
rnacentral:misc_RNA from 1 species